CAGAGUUCGUGCCCUCACGGGUAGAUCUCCCACCCUGUGUUAUUAUACCUUUGUUGCUUUGGCGGGCCGCCCUCGGCUACCGGCCCCGGCUGGUACGCGCCCGCCAGAGGACCCCAAACUCUGAAGUAUAGUGUCGUCUGAGUACUAUUUAAUAGUUA
rnacentral:misc_RNA from 1 species